GGUGGGAGCGAGGAUUAACCAAAAACGCGGCAUUGAGAAUGAGGGGAGGUGCGCUCAGCGCUCACGCUGGGACACUCACGAUGCUUGAAAUAAAAUGUUAACAAGCAUCCCGCUUGGCAAAGAGUAACUCAUUUUGAUACCUCUCGCUACCCCUGGCCUUAGUUUUAAAGGAAUCAUGCGACACACUCGCACUCCACUACCCCAUCCCAUGGAAAAACGCUCCCACCAUCGAGGUGUUGACCAAAAUUUCGCUGUGUGCAUGAGACACACACUCGCACUCCUCCAGCCCUCCACAGCUGAACGCUCCCACCGUUGCGAAGUUGCGAGAAUUUUUGCUAUGAGCGUGAGACCCUGAAGCGCCAGAGAUGACACUAUGUGUAAAGACGAUCAUAAUUCGAUAUGGUCAAAAUGCGUCGAUUAUCGUUUCAUUUAUCUGGUAAUGAUGUUUUCACUUCAUCAAAAUUUUAAACAUUUACAACUAGGCUGAUAACAAUAGUUGAAAUGUAAAUCAGAAAAAAUUAAAUUCAUUUGAAGUAAAAUGAAUUCCAUUAUACUCUAUUUUGACCAAAUGAUCAACUCUUGUACAUAGUGCCAUUUACUUUGUGUUCUUCACUCUCGCGUUGUGUUUUGAUCGUUCGAAACUCAUUGCCAGAACGAAUGCAAAUUUCAUUUGGGAAGGAUCGGUGCCGGAAGAUGCAGUGAAAAUUAUAAAAUGUUUAUAGAAAAGUGGUUAAGUAAAUCGUGAAAGAUGUCAACGCAGGCGUAAAUGCAGUUUGUUUUGUUACUUGAUCUACGGCUAUUUCAUUGCCAAAGCACCUGAUAACCGAUCAAAGAAGGUGAAUUGGGCUUACAGAGUCGCCAUUUAACUUCAAUAUAUUCGUGAUCGGAAAACGCAUCAAACAGCAAGUGUUUUUCUUCUAAUAGCACGCGCCAUCGGUGGAGCAAGCUGCAAACGUUUCGUUCGCCCAACACGCACCAUCAAGUAUUAUAAUAUUCCCGAAUAGCUCUGUGAAUAAAAAACUGAACACUUACUGUCCGAAUUUCCUGGAAUUUUUUGAUCGGUCUACGCUCGCGGGAAUGGUGGGUCCCCUACUAGCAAUGAGAAUGAAAAAGUGUGUGACUUUCAGGCGAGGGGCAUGUAGAAGCAUGGGGAGACGGUUGAAAAUUCGCGGAAUUGCUCGGAGGCGCGAGCGUGUUUUGGUUUCUACACAGUUUUUGCACUCAACAAUUACACAUGUGUGAAUGUGUGCGUUCACUUUCAGCCUGCGCGCUCAGUUUGGUUUUCUCGCAGCGGCAUGCGGGUAUCGGUGUCUCGCUCGCACUAAUGCAGCGAGUGUUCCUCUGUGCGCUCCCCUUCUUGCCACCACACGAAAUCGUCAGUUCAGCUCAAGCGUUCGCCGUGAAAGGCUGCGCGCGUGUUAGCCUAAGUCCCGGGCGAUCGAAGUUUCGCUAAGUGUUGAAGUGUUGUGCACAUUGAAAUAAAGCUGCGCUUAUUUUUUAUCAUCUAUCCUAAAUGUGUGAUUUGCGUUGCUUCAUUUUAAUAUUUGUUUGCUGUAUUGAACAUCAACAACGGUAUCCAUGCAGUUAGGCGACUAUUUUAAAUACGACGAUUUUUUUAUAAAAAUAUUGUGUGUGAUUUUGUGGCAAGAUUGUGUGAAGCUAUGUGUGAAAAUGCCCCUUUAUUUGCAAUAAAAGUGAUAAAAUAUAAACCAA